AUUUUAACUCUCUUCCUGAAUAAGGAGGCAGCAAUGGCGAAGGGGGUCCAUGCAAGAAGGACCCAUGUAUUUAAUUUAAAAUAGCAUUGAUGAUCGGAAUCAUCUAUACCAACGGGAAUGGAGUAAAAUUCCAUGAUCUAAAUAAUAAUCCUGGAAUACUACCGUACAAAUUAGAAAGGGACGUCGGAGAAAAAGAGCCUACAAACAAGACAGGGGAUCCUACCCCCGAAGCCAGGAUGGACUUUUCAUCCAUCCAGGCGGAGGAGCUGCUAAGGUCAUUAGCCGCUAGCAAUUAGGAAGCUGAAGUAAGCGAAAACUCCUCGACCAGGGCAGAACCAAAAGGUUUUGACCAGGCGGGAACGCUAACAAAGCCGAAAAAUUGCUGCGACUCAUGAAAAAAAAGAAGCAGGCAAAGAACCGCAACCGCACAAAGAGGCGGAAAGAGGAAAAACAGAGGAAGAAGGAGGAGCGAGAAGCCAACCAGGAGGGAUCAACAGUUCGUCCAGGACCAGCUUCUGCUUCUACAAAUCCUCUUGUAGGAGGCAGCUCUAAGGGCACUACCAAAGCCUCGAACAGCGGGCAACACUUGAGGAGUCGCCAGCUAGUAAAAGGGCGUGGACCAAGGGCAAAACAUGUAAGGUGAGAGGCAGAUAAGCUGAACCUAAUCAUCCUGCCCACGGCACCCGCCGCUGUCAGGGAGGAGGACACCCAGCACCGGCGCCUCUAGCAAAAAGAGGCAAAUCAAAAAGGACACCCCACCCGACCGCCAGCAUAAGAAGCCUAGGCAACAGGGCAGGUCCAUUCCUCAAAAAGAUGUGCAGACAGGCGCGUCUCCUCUUCUAAGGAGAGAUACCCAGUCAGGGCAUCCACGAGGGACAAAUGACCAACCCAGUUCUGGCUCCUAUAGCGGGGCAGUCAACAGGGCAAAUCAGGUCGUUUUUAGGUCAGACAGAGAAGGUGGAAGGGUGACCAAAGAGGAGGCGGACCGGACCGCCUCAGGCUCCAUCUCAUCUCUGAGAUGAGGAGGACCAAGACUGAGCUCCACUCUCGAAACUCCGGACUCACAGAGACGAGCUGGUUUCUGGUCACCACGGAGGACGAACAGAGACUGGCUUUUGAGCUCCUGUCAACCACUGACCGAGGGGGUCACACCUUCACCGCGGUGAUGUCAUCCGACGCCCCAUGGCCAGUGAAGAUAGUCUUCACUCUGAGGACACUGGAGCGGCCAGACUUAGAGUAUGUCAGGGAAAUCCUUGGCAUACAGAAUAGGGCCUUAAGCGUCCCCAUCUGGCAACACCUGACGACGGAAGGCGAGUCUGGAAGGUUUAAUCUACAUUUCAUGGUGAGCAGGGAAGUUGCUGCUCGACUCGAGGAGGCCAGGUGGACACUCUUCCUUCACGUAAGCUCCAAGGAUGCUACGGCAGCUCUGCUGGAGUACACGGUAAGUGGCACAAAAUAUAAUUUAGUAAUAUGCAGUUUAUAUCUUCCGUAUGAUAAUGGACAACUUCCCCCGACGGAAGAUCUAAAAAGGUUAACAAAAUACAGUAAGGAUAGUGGUUUUCCAUUAAUCGCGGGGUGACGCAAACGCGCACAACAUUGUAUGGGGAAGUACGGAUACCAACGCGAGGGUUACGACAUUAUUAGAAUAUGUAGUAGCGGAAAACCUUGAGGUAGCAAACGUAAAUGCGGAACCGACUUUUGUCAAUAGAGUUAGACAAGAGGUUAUCGACAUAACGCUGGUAACACGGACAUAACACUGCGGAAAGGGUUGAA